CUUGAAUUCAAUUGCAUAUUGAGAAGAAGAACCAGAAUUCUCAAGCUGGCAAAGGGCUCUCUGUAAGAGGCAAAUCAGUUGCUAGAAAACAGUAUUUUGGUGAUGUUCCUGUGGGUGUCUGCAUCACUUACGAGAGCUUAAUCACAUACCAUGCUCCUACAAAUCAAUAAGGAGAAACAAACAGCCUACAAAAAUAGGAAAACCCAGUAUCGGCUGUUUAUAAAAGAUGACAUACCAAAAAUUAAGUAAUCCAAAUCAUAUUAGAGUAAUCCAAAGGAAAUAUAAAGUACAUGUGUUUGCCUAUCAAAUACAAAGAAUAAAGAGAGUGAGAAAAUCUAAUGUUAACAGUGUUGGAAAAUUCAAUUCUCAAGCUCUGAUAACUGCAAUACAAAAUUGUCAUACCUCUUCUGCAGAGAAGUUUUAGAAAAUAUGCCAAAAUUUAAAGUGCAUGCCUACAUUUAGCUCAAGAAUUUCAAUUUAAAUAAGUCAUCCAUUGUUACUGUGGCUAAUUUUUUACUUUGACCCUGAAGUUGUCCACUGUAAUCAUUUUACAUGUAUAUAUAAAAUAUAUUUUACUAGGAUUUUGGGGGGGGUGUAUUUGUACACAAUGUUUUUAGUUUAUUGAUUUAUUUUUAUGUGGUGCUGAAGAUCAAACCCAAGGCCUCUUCUAUGCCAGCUGAGCACUCUACCAUUGAGCUACAACCCCAGUCUCUCUAGUGUUUUGUUUCUUAAAAAUACUUUUACAUAUCUGUAUACAUAUUCCUAUAGAAUUAUAUCUCAGACACACUUUUAAAAAAGUUACCGCAUGGGCUGGAACUGUAGCUCAGCCAUAGCACAUUUGCUUUGCAUGUCCGAGGCCCUGUGUUCCAUUCUCAGCACCAUUUAUAAAUGCAUAAAAUAAAGAUCUAUCCACAACCAAAAAAAAAAAAAUUAAGAAAAGAAUAUAGAUGGCGCUUUAAAAAAAAGUUAACACAACUGUAGUUGUACAUGUUCAUGAUAUGAGACAAUUAACAUGUUAACUUUUUAAAAAGGAGUAUUGUUCUAUGGCACCAAAGAGAAUCCCAUUAUGAUACAGCCAUCACAAUCAUUUGACCAUCCCCAGGACUUUUCUAUUCAUGAAUUCACCCUGUCCUCAUUCAAUAUAUUACCAAUUAUCCCUGUACCUCAUCCCAGUAACCACCGUUCUACUUCCUGUCUAUAUGAAUUUGAUUAUUUCAAAGAUUUAUUUUAACACCACCAAAGUACAAGAGUAAUGUGUGCUGGUGUAUGUGUGUACAUGUACACACACACAUACACCUCCAUAUACAUACAAAACAUGCAUUCGUAACUACCUUUGCCUUCUUGCUUUCCACAUUGAGGUUUAGAAAUCUUCCUAUAUUGUGCAAACAUUCAUUUAUUUUGUUCCUAUAAUUUGAUUGAUAUCUACAUCUAUGAUGGCCCUGCCCUUUCCCUGGUCUACCAGCUUCGAAGCACACAGCAAGUGCCCUCAUGCCUCAUGCUUGCCUGGCUUAUGACAGAGCCCAGAGAACAAAUUUCUAAAUUUCAGUAUUCAAGAAGAUUUUUUUUUUUCUGCUUGAUUUUUCUUUUCCCAGGAGGGAAUUAUGGGUGACUAUUUCUAAUGUAACCACUAGACGGCGCUGAAAGACCAUGUUGUGGCCACAGGUGUGCCCUUCUCCCCUCUCCUAGAGGGCUCCAGAACACCUCAGGCAGACUGGCUUUGCCUAGUCUCCCUGAGAGUGAGCAAAAGGCUGCCUUCUGUCACUCACCUGGCCCAGCUAGCACCUGGCACCUGGCAGGUAGAAAAGGCACCACUUCCCUUCUCCACACCACUGCAGACCCCAUGGCUAGAUGGACGCCCAGUGGACUUUUCCCCUCAAAAGUCUUUACUAUUUUUAUUUCUAAUGAUUGGUGCUCAUUAUAAAAAUUUUAAGCAACAUAUGGAUAAAUCAAAAUCCCCGCAUGCCCAGUAUGACCCCUGUUCCAAAUAGCUCAUCUAAGUCAACGCUAUGCAGAGAACGCUGGCUGGACAAAGAGAUGGGCAUGGACAUUACACCUUGUAGCUGUGAGUUCCUGCUCUACAUGCUAGGAUUUAAAGAGAUGUCACGUGCCCCAUUCAUUUCUACUUAAGAGGAGGCAAGAAAUCUAAUAUGAGAUCCUGUAUUUCAAAAACCAUCAACCACCAAAAUAUACUGGUUUUAAAACACCUCGCCGUGAUUAGGCAGAUGAUUUUAUGGUAAAAACAGGUUAGUGAUUGGAGCCAUUACUUUGUUACUGUUACUAACAUCACUAAUACCAUGACAGCUGUGUCCACUCUGUAAGAUGUGCCAUUUAAUUGUAGUGUAGCAUCUGCACUAUCCAAUAUGGUGGCUCUUGUGAAUAAUGUGGUUGCUCAGAUUUAUAAAUGAGUGUUGGUAUGGACUUUGUUUUUCUUUUAAAUGAAAUAAACCAGAAAUAGUGA
rnacentral:lncRNA from 1 species